rnacentral:rRNA from 1 species
CCUACGGGAGGCAGCAGUGAGGAAUAUUGGUCAAUGGACGAGAGUCUGAACCAGCCAAGUAGCGUGAAGGAUGACAGCCCUAUGGGUUGUAAACUUCUGUUAUAAAGGAAUAAAACGAGGCACGUGUGCCUUUUUGCAUGUACUUUAUGAAUAAGGAUCGGCUAACUCCGUGCCAGCAGCCGCGGUAAUACGGAGGAUCCGAUCUUUUUGCGGCUUUAUUGGGGUUAAAGGGAGCGUAGAUGGGUUGUUAAGUCAGUUGUGAUAGUUUGCGGCUCAACCGUAAAAUUGCAAUUGAUACUGGCAGUCUUGAGUACAGUUGAGGUAGGCGGAAUUCGUGGUGUAGCGGUGAACUUCUUAGAUAUCACGAAGAACCCCGAUUGCGAAGGUAGCUUACUAAACUGUGACUGACAUUGCUGCUCGAAAGUGUGGGUAUCAAACAGGAUUAGAUACCCUUGUAGUC